AGAGUUGAUCAUGGCUCAGGAUGAACGCUAGCGAUAGGCCUAACACAUGCAAGUCGAGGGGCAGCACAUGAAGUAGCAAUACGGAUGGUGGCGACCGGCGCACGGGUGAGUAACGCGUAUGCAACCUGCCUACAACAGGGGAGUAACCCGUUGAAAGACGGACUAAUACCCCAUAACACAGGGAUCCCGCAUGGGAAUAUUUGUUAAAGAUUUAUCGGUUGUAGAUGGGCAUGCGUUCCAUUAGCUUGUUGGUGAGGUAACGGCUCACCAAGGCAACGAUGGAUAGGGGAACUGAGAGGUUUAUCCCCCACACUGGUACUGAGACACGGACCAGACUCCUACGGGAGGCAGCAGUGAGGAAUAUUGGUCAAUGGACGCAAGUCUGAACCAGCCACGUCGCGUGAAGGAAGACGGCCCUACGGGUUGUAAACUUCUUUUGUAAGGGAAUAAAGUGUAGUACGUGUACUAUUUUGCAUGUACCUUACGAAUAAGGAUCGGCUAACUCCGUGCCAGCAGCCGCGGUAAUACGGAGGAUCCGAGCGUUAUCCGGAUUUAUUGGGUUUAAAGGGUGCGCAGGCGAGAGAUUAAGUCGGCGGUGAAAUUUUGCAGCUCAACUGUAAAAGUGCCUUCGAAACUGGUUUCCUUGAGUGUGGAUGAAGUAGGCGGAAUUUGUGGUGUAGCGGUGAAAUGCAUAGAUAUCACGAGGAACUCCGAUUGCGCAGGCAGCUUACUAAACCAUAACUGACGCUCAGGCACGAAGGCGUGGGGAUCAAACAGGAUUAGAUACCCUGGUAGUC
rnacentral:rRNA from 1 species